CGUCUUGACUCCCGAGCGGUCCUGCCUGGUGAGCGCGCACGCACCAGGUCUGGAAAGGCGGCCUCCGGGAGACAGAAGAGGGCAGAAGGGGAGGGAAGAGAAAAGAGAGGAAACAUCAGGGAAGGAGGAGGAACCAUCUUCCUCUCACCCCCUGCCACUCCUAGUCUGUUUUGUAAGCUGAUGUAUCUCAAGGGCCUGGGACAGCACCUGGCACAUCAUAGGCGCUCAGUAGGUUCCCAAAAUGAGACUCCCCAAGAAGAAGGAAAACAUAAACUCACGUCCAUCCUCUUCCAGGUAUAGAAGUUGACCUUGGUGUCUGGGACAGUGAUAUUCUCACUGAAGCUGCAGCCUUCAGCACAGCCCAUCUGAAAUGCACGACCCCCGAGUCAGGCUCCCC